UACGUAGGGUGCGAGCGUUAAUCGGAAUUACUGGGCGUAAAGUGUGCGCAGGCGGCUUCGCAAGUCGAGUGUGAAAUCCCCGAGCUUAACUUGGGAAUUGCGCUCGAAACUACGGAGCUGGAGUGUGGCAGAGGAAGGUGGAAUUCCACGUGUAGCGGUGAAGUGCGUAGAUAUGUGGAGGAAUACCGAUGGCGAAGGCAGCCCCCUGGGAUAACACUGACGCUCAUGCACGAAAGCGUGGGGAGCAAACAGG
rnacentral:rRNA from 1 species